AAAAACCCAAACAUUAUAAAACCCAAAUUUACUCUUCCAUCCGGAAUCUCAGAUUCCGAUGAGCCGCCAUCAUGCAGCGUUGUAGACUUUGUCCAGCAAUGCUGGCCACCGCUGGUCGACCCCCUUUUCAGCCCAAAUUUCACUUAGAGCCUCCUUUUCAUCUCCUCUUUCCUGUUCUCCAAGUGGUUUUCCUAAAAUAUGCCUCUAAAGCCAUAGAUAUGGGGUUUUGAAUCAAAACUUCACACCACCAGAAACCACCGUUGUCGCCUUUCGAUUGUCCCCAAAUUUCAGUUUAUUGUUGCUCGCUUACUUCCCUUUCAUUUCACUGUUCCCGAUUGCCUCAAAGUCCAAUGGUGCGGUUGUCAGCGCACGCGUCCGCCGCUGCUAGUGGCGUUGGUGGCCACCCCUUUUGUCUUUCUUUGUUCCCCCUUAUUUCUCUACAAUUCCAAACCAAGCUCUCCUAAAAAAUCUCCAAAGCCCAACCAGUCCCAGGAAAAUUGAAACCCUCCUAUUUUUGCAUUUUUUUUCUGUUCUUUUUUGUUUCUACUGUGGCUUUCCCUUUUUUGGGGAUUAAGGUUGAUUUUUUUUCUUUCGUUUUUAUGGGCUACGGUGGAGGGGCUGUUUUCAACUUGUGUGAUGAUGGUUGAUAGUUCAAAAAUUGGUUUCGGUGGUGGGGAAUUGUGGGUGGAGCUGGUGGUUCAAGGAGGGGAUGUCGGUGUGUUUGGUUGAUGAUGGACAAUGAUACUGGUGAUGAUUAUCUCGGCUGCUUGACAAUUUGGGUGGUUGAGGGCUGGUGAGUUGGUCAAUUUGAUUUUGUGUUGUGAUUUUUUAGGAGGGUUCUAGUGGUGGAAAGGACAGUGUUGGGUGCAAAGGGGUUGGGUGAUGGUGAAUAUGGGUUUCGGUUGGCAAGGGAGGUUGCAAUGGGGUUGGUGGUGGCCGCGGGCAGAGGCUUGGGGCUGGGUGGUUUGUUGGUCUUAUGGUAGUGGUAGGAUGUGCUAGUUGGUAGGUUUUGGAUGUGGGCAGUGAUAACCAGUUUCGGUGGGGGACUCAGACGGUAAAACGGGGCAGAGGCAGGGCUAAUUUUGGGUUUGUGGUCUAGUCAUUUAGGAUUUUUGGUUGCUUCCUUUAAAUUGUCCUUCUCCCUUUAAUUUUAGUUUGCUGUCUAUUCCCCCUUUGUUACGUCCGAAUUCCCCCACUGGGUUCUUGUAUAACCGUCGCUUUUCAAGAUGUAAUUGUCUUUUAGACACUUGUUGUAGCAAUGGUUGCUGUAGAAGUAUAGCAUGUUGGGUUUGGGAUAGUGCGAAAGUGGGCUUGGGGAAGGAGCUGUUAACUUUUUGGAAGGUUUUUUUUGAUUAAUCGGUGCUAAAGGUAGAUGGGUAAAAUAGGAGGGGAAAGUCAAGGAGUUGGCAGUAAGCAUGUCCGUCGGGGGAAGGGACCCAGCAUUUGGAGAAGAAAGCUGAUUGACGUUAAGCCUCGUAGAGACUUUGAUUGGGUUUGCAACCUCAUGUGGCAUUAGCCUAAUUUUGAAUUAGAUUGACUUACAAUUCAUGUAAAAUAGUUCAAGAAUAAUUAUUCCCAAAACAAAACUUAUUUAGGCCUAACACGAAAUAAAUUUCAUUAAAGAGUCCAAAUAGGUGCAAAUUAGGACACGCAAUAAUCCUCAAAAAUCGAUUGAAAUUUACUUGUCUCCAAUAAAAU
rnacentral:lncRNA from 1 species